rnacentral:SRP_RNA from 1 species
CAAAUGGGUCUUACGCAACAGAAAUCCAUGAACCUCGUCAGGUCCGGGAGGAAGCAGCGAUAAGUGGACACUUUUGUGUGCCGUAAGGUUGCCUGUUUCGAGU